rnacentral:rRNA from 1 species
UACGUAGGGCGCAAGCGUUGUCCGGAAUUAUUGGGCGUAAAGAGCUCGUAGGCGGUUUGUUGCGUCGGCUGUGAAAUCCCGAAGGCUCCAACCUCGGGUCUGCAGUCGAUACGAGCAAACUAGAGUGUUGCAGGGGAGACUGGGAAUUCCUGGUGUAGCGGUGGAAAUGACGCAGAUAGUCAGGAGGGAACACCCGGUGGCGAAGGCGGGUCUCUGGGCAACAACUGACGCUGGAGGAGCGAAAGCGUGGGGAGCGAACAGG